GUUGCAUUUCAAAGCAGAUGUAUUGCUCAUUUCGAGAUUAACUUGAACCUCCUUAGAUUUGGGGUUUGGAGUAGAAGAGAGGCCAUAUUUCCCCCUAUAUUUCCCCCAACAAUGGAAAAGACAAACUGAAAUGACACUCUCCGGUUUCACCAAGCAUCUAGACAAACUGUACUGUUCGAUGCUGGGUUUGUUAGACGCUAAUACACGUGUGCUUGGCAGCAGGCAGGCCUGCUGAGGGAUGGCCGGCCGGUGAAAAGCCCAACAGCCGUUGGAUUUGUAACUGCCUGUCCAAAAAUCUGCCAGGGCAGGAGCUGCCUGUCCAAAAUUCAGCCAGGACCUGCGCUAGACAUUGUGUAGCCUACACGUCUUGCUUCUUUCAAACUCUGACCUGAGCCCCCAAUACAUUGAGUUUACAUAGAUGUAUUUUUGGACCAUGGUUUACAUAUAUAAUGUAUACAAAAAAUUAAGUACACCUGCUCUUUACAUGACAUCCAGGUGAAAGCUAUGAUCUCUUAUUGAUGUCACCUGUUAAAUCCACUUUAAUCAGUAUAGAUGAAGGGGAGGAGGUAGGCUACAGAAGGAUUUGAAGGGGGUAUGGUAGUAGGUGCCAGGCGCACCAUUUUGAGUUUGUCAAGAACUGCAACGCUGCUGGGGUUUUUUAAGCUCAAGUUUCCUGUGUGUAACAAGAAUGGUCCAGCACCAGCCAACUUGAUACAACUGUGGAAAGUAUUGGAGUCAACAUUAGCCGGCAUCCCUGUGGAACGCUUUGGACACCUUGUACAGGCUGUUCUGAGGGAAAAAGGAG
rnacentral:lncRNA from 1 species